GCAACAUGUUACUCACGAGCUACUGGUUGGGGAUCACUGGCCUAAGGGUUCAACUCGGAAUUUUGCCAACAUGUUUUAAGAUUUGACAAAACUGAAGGAGAAUGCCCAUGCUGUUGUUUUACCAUCACUUCUAUUGCCCAAAAUGGGGACAAUCUGGUCAAUGUGUUUCAGAGAUGAAUUCAGCAUCAUAUGUUUUUUUGGCUGUGGAAUUAAAUAUAGGGUCUCACAGUCAGAUGAGGCUUAAGACCAUGAAAUAUGGAGUCAUCGGAUUAAACUACAAUUUUAUUUGAUCCACAGAGGAUUUCCAUUUGCUGUUUGUGAAACUUUUUUUUUUUUUUUUUACCAAGAAUUUGUAUAUAGAACAUUCUACGUCUUCCUUCAAAAACAACAUCAUGUGCUUCGCCAGCACUUUUCUUGGCCAAUGAGAAAUCAGUCUGUGUAUUUGGCUAGCUAAAGGGCGGGCAGCUGCUUAGUAUGUAAAUGAGCUCAGAUCAUUAUAAAUAAGUAGAGCAGGGAACAGGGUGUACAGUCGUCAUGUCCCCCUCCCAGGCUGCUGUUGGAUGAUAAUGAAGAUAAUGAGUCAGCCUAAUUAUGCCAUUGUCCUGUAGCCUCUGAAUGGUUCCCUGUAGGAAGUGAUGUCGGAGCUGUAUCCUCACACCCGGUAGCCGAGGCCUUUGGGACUGAGUUUGGGAUAUCAUCAUAUACUGUAAGUUUGUUUUAAGACACUACAGUAUAGAUGAUGUACUACACCAAGUCUCACCAGCACCCACCGACCCAAAAGACACUGACGAUUAUGUUUCAUGACUUUCAUUUCUCCCAAAUUAAUACAACGCCACCUGCCAAAGCAUAAUUAACUAAUCGUCCGUCACACAGGCCGGCCAAAUGCAUUUAUAUUAGAUGUGAUUAAAAGAGAUUUUAGCGAAUAAGAAAAUGUUCUAUUUAUAAUAAGAGUAUUCUCUUCCAUGUCCUUUACUGUAAAUAGAAAACUCCAGGCUCAGACCAGUCCCUCAGCCUUAUUUAUACAGUAUAUGAGGGAUCUGAAUUAUUACUUGUCUCGGCACAGGCAUUCUCCAUAAACCUAAUGAAGCAGAACCUCUAUUAAUACAUUGUCUACGGAGAAUGUCUUUACUAAGGCAAGCAGCAUGGCAGCUCUGAUUCAUGUCUACAUGCGAAUAUUCAUGGAAGGGAAGUUUUGAGCAAGGAGUAAAUAAUAAUACAAGAGGUAGUAAGUGCAAUGUCCACUGUUCCAGCUCCAGAGUGAAGCAGAAAAUGGCCGACCCAUUGUGUUGGGUGGAGACCUGUAGGGUGUCAAUGAAACCGUUACCAUUACUGAGUUUAGUAAUGGUAAGGGUUCUGUUGCUGCUCUUCCAUUCGCUUUUGAGAUUCCAGAGGAAAGAAACUCAACGAACGACUCAAUGCACCUUGUCAUUCCCUGAAUUGUAUUUCAAAUAAAAUGUUAUAAUUACA